GGGGAAGGCUUUGAUUGAGGCUGAAGAAAUCCAAAGGGAAAGUGACAAACAUUCACAACUUGUAAUAAGAGAACAGAAACAACUUAACCUCCUGAAUAAUGGCCAUAAUCUCUCAAGCAAUGGACUCUGGAGAAGAGGAAAUAAAAUUUUUAAGUUGAAGAGAAUCCAAUUCAAUGUACAAUCAACCAAAUUCCUACUAGCAGCAAACUAAAUCGCCGCCCAAAGACCAAUGCCUUCCUCCGCAAGAGGAGAAAUUCAAACUUUGCAGAAAAACCAUUUCAUAAGAGAGCCCGCAGAGUCCCUGAUUGAGAAAUCAAAAGCAACCUCUGAUGAAGAGCCAAUAAAAGAUACAUCAACAUUUAUCUUUAGUUUAUCCGGAUCUAAGGGAGACCAAAGAGAUUAAGCAAGAGCUCUGGAUGAAAAUAAAAGCAAAGAAUAAGGUUGUGGAAUGGUCAAGUGAAGCAGUUCACCAAUCCCAUUCUUAGCUCUUCUAAGAGUGAUAACUGGAUCUAGUCACACAUCAAUGAAAACAGCAUUUGAUGUCUUA